rnacentral:lncRNA from 1 species
AGGUCCCAGCCGCUGCCGAACCGGGCUGCGGAAGUUCGAGUGCCCAUGCUGAGUAGCAGCGGCAGCGGCGCCGGAGUUCCCGCAGCGGAGAUCGCGGACGCGGGACUGAGCCCCUCCGACGCCCAGUAUGGACCUGGAAACCAAAAUGAAGAAGGUGAGUGGGGCGGGCGACGGGCGUGGUCGCCUCACCUGAGCGCGGGAGCUGGUCCGGGUUCCGGGACCAGACCCGGUGGGUGCGGCUGGAGGAUGACUCCCCGGACCCCGAUCCCUUGGGUGACUGUCGCUGCGGAGCGGGACCCUGCAACUCGCUGUCUCUGCGCCUGAAACUUUUCGGAAAACCUUUCGGCCACGCCUUCCCCCAAGCCCUGGGCGAAGUCUUAGGCGAGGUGGUGGCUGACACCGCUUCCUGCCUGGGGAAGCAGCGCUCUGGGGAGCCUGUGUGAUUCAGUGAUGUGGCUUUGACAUCCUCCUCCCCUGCAGUCUGGCUGCCCCAGGCGCUCUAAAGUGGCUGCUGACUGGUGACACUUCCUUCACACCCGCGCCUGCUGAUAACUUCUGAAGUGAUGACUUUUGGGGGAUGUGUAUGUGUUUCACUUAUGGCUUGAGUGCCAAAACACUGUCUCCUUCUUGCGGAGUUAAUUCUCAAAAGAAAAUGCCGUUUGGCAGCCAGGCACAAACAGCGGUCAUUGCAGGUGCUCAGCGGCCCCGCCUGCGGAGCACCCUCCUGGCUGCUCCUGGUGUCCAGGCUAUAAAGGCCCUACCUGAGGAGCUCCGAGAUUAGGUCUCUCAGGUCGCCUGGGAGAAAGAGGUGGGGACCAGACUAUGACUCAAAAGAAUGCUGACGUCACAUUCUAUUGUAACUUUCGACCUUAAAGGUCUUGUUCUCGGGAAUUGCGCCUGUUUUCUUUCAAGUGAAUUUAAGUUAGUUGGUCAUUUUUCAAAUAAGGAAGGAAGUUGUGCACAGUAAGAAAGCCAAGUUGAGGAAACUUUCUUCUGCGGCUUUGCAGUUGCAGGUUCAUCUUCUAAAAGGGAAUUUCUAUUUUGUGCCAGAAUUGAAGGUUUCAAAUCGUAUGCAAAUAUAUGGUAUGAGGUUUAGGAAGCUGUUGAUAAAUAAAAAUUUGAACCUAGGAAACAGUUCCUUGGUCUCUUCUGAUUAAAAUCAACACUCAGAAGGGAAGGGAAGAACAGGAAAUAGAAGAUUCUUUCUAGUCUCUUCCUGUUUGAUAUUUAUUCUUUUAACGUGUGUUUUGGUUACCUGUGCUUGCCACUUAGAAAGCAGCGGAUGUGCUGUGUAGUCUUCUGUUGAUGAACACACACUGAACUUACUGAGUUUUUAUAUAAGAACGUCUUUAGGUGUUUGUCCCAAAUGAUAGGUUGUCUUUGUUUGGAAAUGCUGUCCUUGAAGGGAGGGAAGGAUGAAUAAGCAAAUGAGAGGAUUGUUAAGGUAAUGACGCUAUUAUGCAGGAUACUAUCUUGGUGGAUAUAUCUUACUCAUACCUUUGUCAAACGGCACAGAAUGUAGGAUAACAAAAGUGAACUGUAGUGAGGAACCUGAACUUGGGAAACAGCGAUAAGCCGCUGUGUCUCUUAAAUGACCGCCUCCGAACCCUGGUGUUGUAGAUCGUGAGGGGGCCAGGCUGGACAUGUGUUGUCAAAGACCAUGGGGGAAGCUUCAUGCCUCUGCUCAGCUUUGCUGUGAACCUAAAAACCUUUUUUUUAAGUUCUCUAAUCAAAACAAAACACAAUCUUUGAGACAAGAGACAAUAAUUUUCAGAAAAAAGUCCAAACUUAAGAAUUUCGAGGUUUCGAGCUGGGCGUGGUGGCACACGCCUUUAGUCCCAGCACUGGGGGGGUGGGGGGGUGGGGGGGGCAGAGGCAGGCAGAUUUCUGAGUUCGAGGCCAGCCUGGUCUACAAAGUGAGUUCCAGGACAGCCAGGGCUAUACAGAGAAACCCUGUCUCAAACAACAACAACAACAACAACAACAAAGAAUUACAUGGUUUACAAGGGUUUAAAAAAAAUGUGCAGAUAUUUACAAGCAGUUUUCUGAAGUCUUGUUUAUAAUGAAUAAAUCCUUUCAAAUGUGGCAUAGCAGUCCCUUACACCUUUACUUUAAAAGGAUAUCUUUUUCAACCAAGUGCCUUUACCGUAUCUGUAAGCUUGUAGCUUUCCAUCCCACCUCAAGAAAAGAAAGAUUUCAGAAAUUUAAAGAACAUGCAAUACUGUUAAUAAAUGCUUAUUUUAUGACACUGUCACGUCUGGUGAUUCUCAGAAGGGUCCUCUAUCAGUAAAUGAUUAAGAAACCCAACAGCGACACAUCUGACACCAGUCAUGUUCUUCAUUUACCUUCCUAAGCUAUUUUUUCAGUGGGUUGUAUAAGAAGUUCCCUAGUACUUCCCUAGUAGUGUGAAGACUCUGGGAGCACAUUAAACCAUAAUCUCAAAAGAAAUAUGUAUUUAGGGAUUGCUUUACUUCUAAGUUGCUCUCUAACACACUUAAAGAAAUAUUCCAAGACUUUCUGACUCACCUCCAAGGCUUUUUCCCCUGGAUUUCGAAUCUGAAUUGUUUCAGAGUCUUCUCAAGGACUCAAGAAAAGCCAUGAUUUGAAUGUACAGUUGACAGCAAAGGCAGUGUGGAGAUGGGAAUAUAGAUGCAUUUAAAUAAAAAUCAGUUUGACUUGUAGCUUGGGAUAUGCGGUAUUUCCCCCUUCCAAAGCCCUUACAUUGUAUUGUUGAUUUCAGAAGGACUUUUUCCCAGGCAGAUGGAAAAUAUUAUUUAUUUUCCAUUAACAUGUCCUGUGAAAAGAAUGAAAGAGGUCAGUCUUUACCUUCCAGUGGCCUAUGUGGGCUUUACUAUUGUAAGAGUGUUUGGUUGAUAAAGGGAGAGGUUUCUCCAUGAACUUGCCCUUGCCUUGAUUUGCAGUUACACACCAUUGUCGCCCUUGUCACAGGCACACUGGGUUUCAUAAUUGCUGUUUUUCUGGAUUUUGUUUUGUUUGAGGUAAGUGAGCUGUUGCUAGGAUGUGGAAGCUAGUUUGUCUACACAGAGUUUUGUUUCAACCAUAUUUUAGAGAAGAAUUUGACUUUUAUGUUCCUACCGGAUCCUUUGAAGCACUCAGAUGGACCCUGUCCCUGUGUCUUGCAUCCCUUUUACUUUGUGUAAGUAAAAAAUCUGCAUCUGAUUGCAGAAAUAAACAAUGACCGAGAGGUAGAAGCAGCCUCAUUUUUGUGGUGAGUGGGAAAUCAUGGCCCAUCAACAGCUGCUUUCCCUCAGAGCUGCUCUCUCUGAGAAAAUCAAAUUUACUCUUCAAAAUAUACCGGGAGAAAGACUCCAGUGACUUCCAUUAUACUGCUGCGAAUUGCUGCAGGGCUUUCGUUUUAAUGUAUUAGUUUAAGAAUCUAUGCUAACAUCUUACGUAUUUUUCUUGAACUUCUUGGUUUCUUUCACUUUACUUAGGAAGAAUGAGAUGCAUCUUAAACAGGUCCCUCUCUGCCAUUCAGAUUUGUUUAAAAACCCUACAUUAUUACCCCAGAAUGGAUAGGAAGUCCAAGUGAGUGGCCUUGGAAAAGCUUCAAAACUACCGAGAUUAUUGCAUUAGAUAGAGAAAGAGCCUUUUCUUAUAGGUAGUCCCUUAAUUAAGUGGGGAAACAAAAACAAAACAAAACAAAACAAAACAAAACACCAAAGCAAGUAGUGGAAAUCUGGGUCCUCAUAUCUAGUUAGCAUCUCGGCAUGAAUCCUUCCUUGAUGUAGAAACUGUUGAUGCAAAAAAACUACAACUCUCAUCUUGG